rnacentral:rRNA from 1 species
AAUAUUGCGAAAUGGAGGGAACUCUGACGCAGCGACGCCGCGUGAGCGGUGAAGGUUAUAGGAUCGUACCGCUCUGUCCUUGGGGAAGAAGGCGGCCAUUUAUGGUCACUUGACGGUACCCAAGGAGGAAGCCCCGGCUAAGUAGGUGCCAGCAGCCGCGGUAACACGUAGGGGGCAAGCGUUGUCCGGAAUUAUUGGGCGUAAAGGGUGCGUAGGCGGCCUUUUAAGUCAGAUGUGAAAGACCACGGCUUAACCGUGGGGUUGCAUUUGAAACUGGAAGGCUUGAGUAUCGGAGAGGGUAGUGGAAUUCCCAGUGUAGCGGUGGAAUGCGUAGAUAAUGGGAGGAACACCAGUGGCGAAGGCGACUACCUGGACGAAAACUGACGCUGAGGCACGAAAGCUAGGGGAGCAAACA